UGCAAGUCGAACGGCAGCGCGGGGCAACCUGGCGGCGAGUGGCGAACGGGUGAGUAAUACAUCGGAACGUGCCCUGUGAUGGGGGAUAACUACGCGAAAGCGUAGCUAAUACCGCAUACGACCUACGGGUGAAAGUGGGGGAUCGCAAGACCUCACGUCUUAGGAGCGGCCGAUGGCGGAUUAACUAGUUGGUAAGGUAAAGGCUUACCAAGGCAACGAUCCGUAACUGGUCUGAAAGGACGACCAGCCACACUGGGACUGAGACACGGCCCAGACUCCUACGGGAGGCAGCAGUGGGGAAUCUUGGACAAUGGGGGCAACCCUGAUCCAGCAAUGCCGCGUGUGGGAUGAAGGCCUUCGGGUUGUAAACCACUUUUGGCGGGGGCGAAAUAUCGAGUGCUAAUACCAUUCGGUGAUGACGGAACCCGCAGAAUAAGCACCGGCUAACUACGUGCCAGCAGCCGGGGGUAAUA
rnacentral:rRNA from 1 species